ensembl:lncRNA
UAUUUUGGUAUAUAAAACGGCCGCAAAGGUUUAAAGUAACGUGAUAAAUUAGGUUGGGUUCGCUGAAAGGAGCUGAAUUAGACUUAAGUUUUAGAGGUAGCCGAAAUUACUUUGUGACAAAUUAGCGCACAAAUGUCUAUGUGUGUGUAUGUGUCUGGAAGUAAGUUGAUUUUACAGCACAGUACGCUGCUGAACUACUUCCAUUUUUGUUUUCUUUGCUGAGGCUCAAGUGCUGGUGACAAAGGAGAACGGUUGAGUUUCAUCUCAUAAAACUGAUACCGCUUCACCGUUAGGGUGAAGUUGAAGGCCGUAUCAGUAAAUCACUCUAAAGUCAAGCGUGCCAGCGACGGCCCAGCAAAAUCUUUGAAAACGGAGAAUAAACAAGCAAAAUUAACACCUGAUGAGAAAUGGUUAGAAAAACAACAAGCAGGAGCAGGCAAAAUCAGUGCAAAUAGGUGGAGAGAUCCACAAAAAGCAAAAAAAAAAAACCAACAAAAAAACAAAAAACAAAAAAACCCCCAAACCCCCCCGCAGAUUCUUUAGAUUGCCCUGAUCAACAACAGCCGGUGCUCCAGACCAUUAAUUUAACCAGUUGUUAAUAGUAAUCUGCAUUAAGUUCAGGGUUGCUCAAAUUCAGUACAAUGACAGAUGAAGUGAUGAAUGAAUGAAUGAAUGAAUGAAUUGAAAUUUAUUUCAGUCAACAACAACAGAUUAUAAUUUUACAUAAAAGUACUCAAACAGAAACCGAAAAAGGAAUAGGCUGAAGCCUUAUGGCUUAUACUUAUCCGAUCCCUUACCCCUAUAGAAAUAAUCAAAUCCUUAACCAAGAAGAUAAAUAACAUUGAUAAAUAAGUUGUAUAACAGUUUGAAAAGAAAUCAAUGAUAAAUCAAGAAAUUAAAUCAACACAAAAAAAUGUUAACAAACCAAAUUUCUAUAACCUUGUAUAAUACUAAUUUUUAAAAGCUUCCUGAAGAAUGACAAAGAAAAACACAUCUUCAGUUCAUCAUUAAGUCCGUUCCAUAAUUUC